UACGUAGGGUGCGAGCGUUACUCGGAAUUACUGGGCGUAAAGCGUGCGCAGGCGGUUUUGUAAGCCAGAUGUGAAAUCCCCGGGCUCAACCUGGGAAUGGCAUUUGGGACUGCAAGGCUUGAGUGCGGCAGAGGAGACUGGAAUUCCUGGUGUAGCAGUGAAAUGCGUAGAUAUCAGGAGGAAUACCGAUGGCGAAGGCAGGUCUCUGGGCUGACACUGACGCUGAGGAGCGAAAGCAUGGGGAGCGAACAGG
rnacentral:rRNA from 1 species